GAAGGCUGAAAUUCGCCUUCAUGAAGCUGGAAUUGCUAGUAAUGGCAGGUCAGCAUACUGCCGUGAAUACGUUCCCGGGCCUUGUACACACCGCCCGUCACACCAUGAGAGUUGGAAAUACCCGAAGCCUGUGAGCUAACUUUUAGAGGCAGCAGUCGAAGGUAGAAUCAAUGAUUGGGGUGAAGUCGUAACAAGGUAAC
rnacentral:rRNA from 1 species